GCGGUGGAGCAUGUGGUUUAAUUCGAAGCAACGCGAAGAACCUUACCAGGUCUUGACAUCCUUUGACCACUCUGGAGACAGAGCUUUCCCUUCGGGGACAAAGUGACAGGUGGUGCAUGGUUGUCGUCAGCUCGUGUCGUGAGAUGUUGGGUUAAGUCCCGCAACGAGCGCAACCCUUGAUUUUAGUUGCCAGCAUUUAGUUGGGCACUCUAAAGUGACUGCCGGUGCAAGCCGGAGGAAGGUGGGGAUGACGUCAAAUCAUCAUGCCCCUUAUGACCUGGGCUACACACGUGCUACAAUGGAUAGUACAAAGGGUCGCGAAGCCGCGAGGUGGAGCUAAUCCCAUAAAACUAUUCUCAGUUCGGAUUGUAGGCUGCAACUCGCCUACAUGAAGCCGGAAUCGCUAGUAAUCGUGGAUCAGCAUGCCACGGUGAAUACGUUCCCGGGCCUUGUACACACCGCCCGUCACACCACGAGAGUUUGUAACACCCGAAGUCGGUAGGGUAACCUUUAUGGAGCCAGCCGCCGAAGGUGGGACAGAUAAUUGGGGUGAAGUCGUAACAAGGUAGCCGUAUCGGAAGGUGCGGCUGGAUCACCUCCUUU
rnacentral:rRNA from 1 species